GGGACGCCGAGGUUAACAUUUCUGGACUCUGUUCUGUGAUGCUUGAUUCACCUUUGAAGUAAUGUGGACAGAAGUUCUCAGAUUUGGAUAUUACAUCAACUGGACCUAGCACUGUAUAUUAAUGUUCACUUAAAUCAGGACUUGCAUAAGAAAGAGAAUGGGAGUCUGGCUAAACAAAGAUGAUUAUAUCAGAGACUUGAAGAGGAUCGGUCUCUGUCUUCUGAUAGUGUAUACCGCCGUUUUAGUGGGCUCAUAUCAGGAUUUUUACAGUUUACUUGGCGUGUCCAAAACUGCAAGCAGUAGAGAAAUAAGACAAGCUUUUAAGAAAUUAGCACUGAAGUUACAUCCUGAUAAAAACCCGAAUAACCCAGAUGCACAUGGUGAUUUUUUAAAAAUAAAUAGAGCAUAUGAAGUACUCAAAGAUGAAGAUCUGCGGAAAAAGUAUGAUAAGUAUGGAGAAAAAGGACUUGAAGAUAAUCAAGGAGGCCAGUAUGAAAGCUGGAACUACUACCAUUAUGAUUUUGGUAUUUAUGAUGAUGAUCCCCAAAUCAUAACAUUAGAAAGAAGAGAAUUUGAUGCUGCUGUUAAUUCUGGAGAACUGUGGCUUGUAAAUUUUUACUCCCCAGGAUGCUCACAUUGCCAUGAUUUAGCUCCCACUUGGAGAGAAUUUGCUAAAGAAGUGGAUGGAUUACUUCGAAUUGGAGCUGUUAACUGUGGUGAUGAUCGAAUGCUUUGCCAAAUGAAAGGAGCUGACAGUUAUCCCAGCCUCUUCAUGUUUAGAUCUGGAAUGGCUGCAGUAAAAUAUAAUGGAGAUAGGUCAAAGGACAGCUUAGUGAGCUUUGCCAUGCAGCAUGUGAGGAGCACAGUGACAGAACUCUCAACAGGAAAUUUUGUUAACUCCAUACAAACUGCUUUUGCUGCUGGUGUUGGCUGGCUGAUCACAUUCUGUUCUAAAGGAAAAGAUUGACUUCACAGACACAACUCAGGCUUAGUGGCAUGUUGGAUGGUCUUGUUAAUGUAGGACGGAUGAACUGUGACACCCAGGACAACCUUUGCAAAAGUUUGGACAUUACAACAAGCACUACCGCUUAUUUUCCUCCUGGAGCCACUUUAAAUAACAAAGAAAAGUCCAGUAUUUUGUUUCUUAAUUCAUUAGAUGCUAAAGAAAUAUAUAUGGAACUCAUACAUCAUCUUCCUGACUUUGAACUACUUUCAGAAAAUACACUAGAGGACCGUUUGGCACAUCAUCGCUGGCUCAUUUUUUUUCAUUUUGGAAAAAAUGAAAAUUCACAUGAUCCUGAAUUGAAAAAACUGAAAACUCUACUUAAAAAUGAACAUAUUCAAGUUGGAAUGUUUGACUGCUCUUCUUCACCAGGCAUCUGUAGUGAUCUCUAUGUUUUUCAGCCAUGCCUAGCAAUGUUUAAAGGACAGGGAACCAAAGAAUAUGAAAUUCAUCAUGGAAAGAAGAUUCUAUAUGAUAUAUUUGCCUUUGCCAAAGAAAGUGUUAAUUCUCACGUUACCACACUUGGACCUCAAAAUUUUCCUGCCAGUGACAAAGAACCAUGGUUUGUUGACUUCUUUGCCCCUUGGUGUCCACCAUGCCGAGCUUUGUUGCCAGAGUUACGAAAAGCAUCAACGCUUCUCUAUGGUCAGCUUAAAUUUGGUACAUUGGAUUGUACAAUUCAUGAAGGACUCUGUAACAUGUAUAAUAUUCAAGCUUAUCCAACAACAGUGGUAUUCAACCAGUCCAGUAUUCAUGAGUAUGAAGGACAUCACUCUGCUGAACAGAUAUUGGAGUUCAUAGAGGAUCUUAGAAACCCUUCAGUAGUCUCUCUUUCACCUACCACUUUCAAUGAACUAGUCAAACAGAGAAAGCAUGAUGAAGUCUGGAUGGUUGACUUCUACUCUCCAUGGUGUCAUCCCUGUCAAGUCUUAAUGCCAGAGUGGAAAAGAAUGGCCCUGACAUUGACUGGACUAAUCAGUGUGGGCAGUGUGGACUGUCAACAGUAUCAUUCUUUCUGUGCCCAAGAAAAUGUUCAAAGAUACCCUGAGAUAAGAUUUUAUCCCCAAAAGUCAAAUAAAGCUCAUCAGUAUCACAGUUACAACGGCUGGAAUAGGGAUGCUUAUUCCAUGAGAAUCUGGGGUCUAGGAUUUUUGCCUCAAGCAUCUAUAGAUUUAACACCUCAGACAUUCAAUGAAAAGGUUUUACAAGGGAAAAAUCACUGGGUGGUUGAUUUCUAUGCUCCUUGGUGUGCACCUUGCCAAAAUUUUGCUCCAGAAUUUGAACUCUUGGCUAGGAUGAUCAAAGGAAAAGUGAAAGCUGGGAAAGUAGACUGUCGGGCCUAUGCCCAAACAUGCCAGAAAGCUGGUAUAAAAGCCUAUCCGACUGUUAAAUUUUAUGCUAAUUCUCAACUUCAGCUUGUGAUCAUAUUAGCUUGUCAUGAGAUCAUAGGCACUGUAAUGGUUCUAAAGUGUCUGACCUGUGACUGCAAUUUGGAGUGGCUCUUUUCAGGCAUGUCUAUCCAGAAUGAGUAG